rnacentral:rRNA from 1 species
GCAAGUCGAACGAAGCACUUUAUUUGAUUUCCUUCGGGACUGAUUAUUUUGUGACUGAGUGGCGGACGGGUGAGUACUGCGUGGGUAACCUGCCUUGUACAGGGGGAUUACAGUUGGAAACGCCUGCUAAUACCGCAUAAGCGCACAGCAUCGCAUGAUGCAGGGUGAAAAACUCCGGUGGUAUAAGAUGGACCCGCGUUGGAUUAGCUAGUUGGUGAGGUAACGGCCCACCAAGGCAACGAUGCAUAGCCGACCUGAGAGGGUGACC